CUCUGGGCAGCCCUGCUUGAAGGGACUAGGAGUCCGGGUUGUGGCAUCAGGCAGGAGGAGGUGAAGCGACACUCCAGCAGCCGCCUCCUCAUUGCAGCGCCCUCUCCCGCUGCGCAGUGCCCUGGGGAUGGGGCACAAGCCCUCCAUCCCGGCUCCGAGUCACCGAGCGUCCCCCAAGGCCCCGCUGCCUGGACGCCCCGGCCCCCCAGCAGGCGGCCUGCGCGUGCCUCUGUGCAGUCAGUGAGAAGGGCUCCCGUUCAGAAUGGGCAGAGAAGGGGGCUGCCUCCCGCGCCUGGCACCAUGGCCUGUGUUCUGUUCACUGCACACUGAACCAUACAUUCAACGCCAGUCAGGCCCAUCUGGGGGAGGGCAGCCCAGAGACACGUGUGCACCUGUGUGGGCUGACCUAUGCGCAGUGUCACCAAUGUCUGUGACAUUGCUGUAAUGGCAACAAAGCUGGAGGCAACCCAGAUGCCCGUGGAAGGAAGAACAGCCACAGGAAGACCCAGUUCUGGCAGCUCAGCAUGCAGCCCAGAAACAGAAGAACAAAGCUGCAGAUACACAGCUGGGAAAGGCCACCGAGAUGCUUUGAUAAGUGAGAAGAGGAAAGCCCAGGAGCCGGCAUAGACUUUUCAUUCCUUUUGUAUUAAAAAUGCAGUGUUGGGGAGGUAACGCUGUAUAUUUCUGUUUGCAAGCAAUCUUUGGAGGGUGUUGCAUAACAGAAGAUGUAUCAGGUCUUUGUCCUGGAUCCUCGGAGGAAGCUUCUAAACCCUGGGGGUUUCUCAGAAGUGUGGAGCGUCUGCAUUAGUCCUGGCGGGCCCCUGGGACCACACCUGAGUUUAUGCUAAUGAGGUGACUCAGGGUGGGUUCCUACUGAAUUUCAGGAUGGGGACUGUCUGCUGAAAGACCCGUUAUUAGAGGGUUGGGGCUUUGAGCCACGGGAUGUCAGCCCAACCUCCCAGCAGUCAGAGAAGUGGGCUUCAAUCACCUAACCAAUCACUCCACCGAUCACGUUACACAGUGAAACCCCAAUAAAACUCUGGACACCAAAAUGCAGUGGAGCCUCCUGGCUGCUGAGCACACUGGGGUGCAGGAGGGUGCUGGGCUGGCUCACGGGGAGGGUGCAGCAGCCCCUGUCUGUGACGUGCCCAC
rnacentral:lncRNA from 1 species